rnacentral:rRNA from 1 species
UACAGAGACUGCGAGCGUUAUUCGGAUUCACUGGGCGUAAAGGGUGCGCAGGCGGCCGUGUGUGUGAGGCGUGAAAGCCCGGGGCUUAACCCCGGAAUUGCACCUCAAACUAUAUGGCUAGAGCAUUGGAGAGGGUAGCGGAAUUCACGGUGUAGCAGUGAAAUGCGUAGAUAUCGUGAGGAACACCAGAGGCGAAGGCGGCUACCUGGACAAUUGCUGACGCUCAGGCACGAAAGCGUGGGGAGCAAAAGGG